rnacentral:tRNA from 1 species
GGCUGGGUAGCUCAGUUGGCAGAGCAGAGGACUGAAAAUCCUCGUGUCGGCGGUUUGAUUCCGCCCCCAGCCA